CAAGGAAUUUUCGGCAAUGGGGGCAACCCUGACCGAGCAACGCCGCGUGCGGGAUGACGGCCUUCGGGUUGUAAACCGCUUUUGGGGGGGAAGACACUGACGGUACCCCUUGAAUCAGGCUCGGCUAACUCUGUGCCAGCAGCCGCGGUAAGACAGAGGAGCCAAGCGUUGUCCGGACUGACUGGGCGUAAAGCGCACGCAGGCGGCCGUGCACGUGGGGUGUGAAAGCGGAGGGCUUAACUCUCCGAGGCCAUCCCAUACGGCGCGGCUCGAGCCAUGCAGAGGCCCGUGGAAUUGCCGGUGUAGUGGUGAAAUGCGUAGAGAUCGGCAGGAACACCCAGGGGGAAACCAGCGGGCUGGGCAUGGGCUGACGCUCAGGUGCGACAGCGUGGGGAGCGAACCGG
rnacentral:rRNA from 1 species